rnacentral:rRNA from 1 species
UACGUAGGGUGCGAGCGUUGUCCGGAAUUAUUGGGCGUAAAGAGCUUGUAGGCGGUCUGUCGCGUCUGCUGUGAAAAUCCGGGGCUCAACCCCGGACUUGCAGUGGGUACGGGCAGACUAGAGUGUGGUAGGGGAGACUGGAAUUCCUGGUGUAGCGGUGAAAUGCGCAGAUAUCAGGAGGAACACCGAUGGCGAAGGCAGCUCGCUGGGACGGUACUGACGCUGAGGCGCGAAAGCGUGGGGAGCGAACAGG